rnacentral:rRNA from 1 species
ACUCAAAUGAAUUGACGGGGGCCCGCACAAGCGGUGGAUUAUGUGGUUUAAUUCGAAGCAACGCGCAAAACCUUACCUGGGUUUGAAAUCCUACGGAUCCCGCAGAGAUGUGGGAGUGCCCUUCGGGGAAUGUAGAGACAGGCGCUGCAUGGCUGUCGUCAGCUCGUGUUGUGAAAUGUUGGGUUAAGUCUCGCAACGAGCGCAACCCCUGUUCUUAGUUGCCAGCAUUAAGUUGGGCACUCUAGGAAGACUGCCAGGGUUAACCUGGAGGAAGGUGGGGAUGACGUCAAGUCCUCAUGGCCCUUAUGUCCAGGGCUACACACGUAAUACAAUGGCCAGUAUAGAGGGAUGCGAGCCCGCGAGGGGGAGCUAAUCUCAAAAAGCUGGUCUCAGUCCGGAUUGGAGUCUGCAACUCGACUCCAUGAAGUUGGAAUCGCUAGUAAUCGCCGAUCAGCACGCGGCGGUGAAUACGUUCCCGGGCCUUGUACACACCGCCCGU